rnacentral:lncRNA from 1 species
CCAGCGCGCCUGCGCCCCAAAGCUAGGCCCGGCCCCAAGCGCGAGGAGCGGGGCGGGGCGAGCGCGCGUGCUCCCGGAUCCUCGGCAGUGUCCGGCGCCCCCUUCCCUUCGCCAGGCCCGUUUGGCGCCUUCACUCGGGAAGACGUCGGCCAGGACUUUGCGCUUUGGAGACGUCUUACUUCGGCAGCACUCGCACACUGCGAGAUCCGACACGGGCAGCGGGGACCUAGGGAGCCGGGGACGCUGCCUGUCGGGUACGGUUCCGCAGCUACCGCAGCCCCGUGGGCCAUGAGUUCUUCCCAUCAGACUCAUAGAGUUCAAGGCACACUGAAGAUAUGCUUCCAGGGGCUUGCAAUGUGUGUUGUCUUCGAGCUGGCAAAGGAGUCCCUGAUGGAAACAGCACUGUGAAUCUACUGGCUCCUGAUUCGUCCACACCCUAGUUAGCAGGAAACAAGAGUCUUGCCCUGUCACCCGGGCUGGAGUUGC